CGUAGGGCAAGCGUUGUCCGGAUUUAUUGGGCGUAAAGAGCGUGUAGGCGGCCGCACAGGUCCGUUGUGAAAACUGGAGGCUUAACCUUCAGACGUCGAUGGAAACCGUGCGGCUAGAGUCCGGAAGAGGAGAAUGGAAUUCCUGGUGUAGCGGUGAAAUGCGCAGAUAUCAGGAAGAACACCCGUGGCUAAGGCGGUUCUCUAGUACGGUACUGACGCUGAGACGCGAAAGCGUGGGGAGCGAACAGGAUU
rnacentral:rRNA from 1 species